rnacentral:misc_RNA from 1 species
GAUGAAGAACGCAGCGAACUGCGAUAAGUAAUGUGAAUUGCAGAAUUCAGUGAAUCAUCGAGUCUUUGAACGCACAUUGCGCCCCCUGGCAUUCCGGGGGGCAUGCCUGUCCGAGCGUCAUUGCUGCCCUCAAGCACGGCUUGUGUGUUGGGCCCCGUCCUCCGAUCCCGGGGGACGGGCCCGAAAGGCAGCGGCGGCACCGCGUCCGGUCCUCGAGCGUAUGGGGCUUUGUCACCCGCUCUGUAGGCCCGGCCGGCGCUUGCCGAUCAACCCAAAUUUUUAUCCAGGUUGACCUCGGAUCAGGUAGGGAUACCCGCUGAACUUAAGCAUAUCAAUAAGCGGAGGA